GCCUUCUCUUCAUAUGGUGGGUAUGUUGAUGGUUCUUGUUUUUAUGGAGGUCAUAAGGUGCCCAUAAAGAAUCAAUUGGGCAAGGCUUCAUUUCAUCGAGCCUCCUCCAUGGCUUUCCUUUACCACUCCAAUGCAACAAACUCACAGGUCCUGGAUGCAAAGGCCUGCAACUUCUAACCACAUUAUCCCCACCAAGCCCAUGCUGAUUCCAUCUAUGAUCAAUUGCUUCAACAUCCCCAGCAAACACUAAUAAAAACGGUGGAAGAGAACCCAACUCAUAAAUCCUUCUCUCUUUCUGGAUUCUCAUCCAUUUCUCAAUUUCCCUAGUAUAACCACCUUCUCUCCACCUCUCCAAGUCUAUCACCAUCACACCAGUAUUAAAAUAGCAAGCCAUCUUCCCUUCAAAAACCCUGGAAAGCUCAGGAUCUGACCAAAACUCGCUGUUGAAGUAGUUGGUGAAUUUUGCGUGACAGUACUCUGGUGCUCCAAUAGUUCUUGAACCAGUAAGAGGAAUCCUCCAUAGAUUUUUUAUAUCAUCAACAACUAUUACAUCUGAAUCCAAAUAAAUCACUCGUUUAAUGCAGGGCUCGAGCAUAUCAGCCAAGUAACUUCUUGCAUAGUUCAAUGGGUUGUCGAGAGCUUGACGAAUGGAGGUUGAGAUUAAAUUAUCGACCAGAUUCUUCUUGAAGAGGUAGACCUUAAACUUCAAAGAUGGGAAUGCAGACUCUACAAUCUUGGUGAGUUUGCUUGGACUAAUCAGCCCUGAAUCUGAGGCAAUAAAAUGAAAGAAAAUGUUUUCUGGGCAAGAAGCAUGCUUGAGAACUGAAUGGAUUGCAGCCAUGGUGCCUCUCAAGUAAUGUGGAUCGAGUGUCAUAGCUACAUGAACAAGCGAAGGAUCAUCUAUCAAACUAGGUACAGUAGCACAUGCCAUUCCAUUUUGAUACUCUGGGGCCUCCAAGAAUUGCAGAGAAAAAUCAAACUGAUCAAUCUUUCUCUCAUUGAAAUCACUGGUAGAUUUACUGUGAAAAGAUCGAAUAGCAUCACUGGGAAAGAUCAAGAAGAAGAAGAAGAAAACAUA
rnacentral:misc_RNA from 1 species